CAACGCGCGCCGCCAGUACUGUGCUCACCUGCCAGCCGAGCGCAGGCGCCGUCCGCGUGUUGUUUCGCGACAUCUACCGUCUCGUCCGGUCACGCAACCGUAGCGCCCCCACCUAUCGAUAUCUGACUCGAACUGGACAUCAUCUGUCCACACUCGGAUAGUGUGUGUGCUCUUGGAGUGGAGAACUUGGCUUCCCAAACAACUUACCCGUCCUCACAGAUCGAUCGCACUCAGAAUAUUCUCUGAACUGCUUAAACCGGACAUUGCCUCGAAGACAAAAAACUUAAAGAAGUCGAAGCUAUGGCGCUAAUACUACAGUAUUUAAAAUGGGAUAUGCAUCGUUUUUAUGGACAAAUAUGGAGAUCCUCGAACUAAUCCAUGGUUCCUGAUGAGUUCCCCAUUACCUACAUUAUUAAUAUGUUUAAGCUACGCUCUAGUCAAGGUUGUAGGGCCAAGAUUUAUGGAGAAUAGAAAACCUUAUGAACUUAAAAAUCUAUUAAUAGUUUACAACUUUAUACAAGUACUUUUCAGUGCAUGGCUGUUCUAUGAG